CUCCAAUUGCGCAUAUUAAAGUUGUUGCGGAUAAAAAGCUCGUAGUUGGAUUUGUGGUUCGUCCAGCUGGCUGGGUCUUUGACUUUUGCUGUGCUGGUCGUCCAUCCUUGGGUGGAAUCUGUGUGGCAUUAGGUUGUCGCGCAGGGGAUGCCCAUCGUUUACUGUGAAAAAAUUAGAGUGUUCAAAGCAGGCUUAUGCCGUUGAAUAUAUUAGCAUGGAAUAAUAAGAUAGGACUUUGAGUCUAUUUUGUUGGUUUGCGAGUCAAAGUAAUGAUUAAUAGGGAC
rnacentral:rRNA from 1 species